rnacentral:rRNA from 1 species
GGGGGGGGGCGGCGUGCUUCAUCAUGCAAGUCGAACGAGACACUAACUUCGAGUCACUGGAGAAUGACGUGACGGUGCCUUUAUGGGUAGAGAAUCUGCCCUGUACUGGGGGACCUGCCCCGUAAACUUCUGCUACUACCCCAUAUGAGCGCACCUGCCAUGGAAUUCUUGAGAGUUCCGGCGGUACAGGAUGAGUCUGCAUCUGAUUAGCUAGUUGGUGGUGUAAUGGACUACCAAGGCGACGAUCAGUAGCUGGUUUGAGAGGAUGAUCAGCCACAAUGGGACUGAGACACGGCCCAUACUCCUACGGGAGGCAGCAGUAGGGAAUUUUGCGCAAUGGGCGAAAGCCUGACGCAGCAACGCCGCGUGAUCGAGACGCCCUUCGGGGUGUAAAGAUCUGUCAGUGGGGACGAAAAAUGACGGUACCCACAGAGGAAGCACCGGCUAACUCCGUGCCAGCAGCCGCGGUAAUACGGGGGGUGCAAGCGUUGUCCGGAAUCAUUGGGCGUAAAGAGUUCGUAGGCGGCACGUAAAGUCUGGUGUUAAAUGCAGAGGCUCAACUUCUGUACGGCACUGGAUACUUGCGAGCUAGAAUGCGGUAGAGGUAAAGGGAAUUCCUGGUGUAGCGGUGAAAUGCUUAGAUAUCAGGAGGAACAUCGGUGGCGUAAGCGCUUUACUGGGCCGUAAUUGACGCUGAGGAACGAAAGCCAGGGUAGCAAAUGGGAUUAGAUACCCCAGUAGUCCUGGCCGUAAACGAUGGAUACUAUGUGUUGCGGGUAUCGACCCCUGCAGUGCCGAAG